rnacentral:rRNA from 1 species
AUUGAACGCUGGCGGCAGGCUUAACACAUGCAAGUCGAGCGGGGUGAUGGUGCUUGCACUAUCACUUAGCGGCGGACGGGUGAGUAAUGCUUAGGAAUCUGCCUAUUAGUGGGGGACAACAUCUCGAAAGGGAUGCUAAUACCGCAUACGUCCUACGGGAGAAAGCAGGGGAUCACUUGUGACCUUGCGCUAAUAGAGGAGCCUAAGUCGGAUUAGCUAGUUGGUGGGGUAAAGGCCUACCAAGGCGACGAUCUGUAGCGGGUCUGAGAGGAUGAUCCGCCACACUGGGACUGAGACACGGCCCAGACUCCUACGGGAGGCAGCAGUGGGGAAGAUUGGACAAUGGGGGGAACCCUGAUCCAGCCAUGCCGCGUGUGUGAAGAAGGCCUUAUGGUUGUAAAGCACUUUAAGCGAGGAGGAGGCUCUUUUGGUUAAUACCCAAGAUGAGUGGACGUUACUCGCAGAAUAAGCACCGGCUAACUCUGUGCCAGCCGCCGCGGUAA